rnacentral:tRNA from 1 species
GCGAAAUUGGUAGACGCACCAGAUUUAGGUUCUGGCGCCGCAAGGUGUGAGAGUUCGAGUCUCUCCUUCCGCACCA